GUGAAAUGCCUGAGCUCAACUGAGGCAAUUGCGUUUGAGACACUGAAUUGCUAGAGUAUUUCAGGGGUGUGCGGAACUGCCAAGUGGAGCGGGCUGAAAUGUGUUGAUAUUGGCAGGAACACCGGAGGCGAAAGCGGACACACUGGCGGGAAUAACUGACGCUGAGGCACGAAAGCCAGGGGAGCGAACGGAGAUUGACGAUACCCCGGUAGUCCUGGCUGUAAACGAUGAGCACUGGGCGGGAGAGGGGCGUUUCCCUUUUCUGCCGUAGCGAAAGCGUUAAGUGCUCCGCCUGGGGAGUAGACUGGUCGCAAGGCUGAAACUCAAAGGAAUUGACGGGGGCUCACGCAAGCGGGUAGGAUGAUGUGGCUUAAUUCGAGGCAACGCGAAGAACCUUAUCCUGGACUGUGACAUGCAUGGAUUAACCCAGUGAAAGCUGGGCCACG
rnacentral:rRNA from 1 species